rnacentral:ncRNA from 1 species
CAAAAUAGGUUUCCAUGCGUCAAGUGUUUGGCGGAUGGGGAGUUGUCGCCGAAACGAAAGAACCCGGUUCUUACGAUAUGGAAACCGCACCCGUUG